rnacentral:rRNA from 1 species
UACGUAGGGGGCAAGCGUUGUCCGGAUUUAUUGGGCGUAAAGAGCUCGUAGGCGGUUCCGUAAGUCGAGUGUGAAAAAUCUGGGCUCAACCCAGUGGAGCACUCGGAUACUGCGGUGACUGGAGUACGGUGAGAGGAGGUGUGGAAUUCCUGGUGUAGCGGUGAAAUGCGCAGAUAUCAGGAGGAACACCGGUGGCGAAGGCGGAUCUCUGGGCCAUUACUGACGCUGGAGGAAGCGAAGG